GAUGAACGCUGGCGGCGUGCCUAAUACAUGCAAGUCGAGCGAACAGACGAGGAGCUUGCUCCUCUGACGUUAGCGGCGGACGGGUGAGUAACACGUGGAUAACCUACCUAUAAGACUGGGAUAACUUCGGGAAACCGGAGCUAAUACCGGAUAAUAUAUUGAACCGCAUGGUUCAAUAGUGAAAGACGGUGUUGCUGUCACUUAUAGAUGGAUCCGCGCCGCAUUAGCUAGUUGGGAAGGUAACGGCUUACCAAGGCAACGAUGCGUAGGCGACCUGAGAGGGUGAUCGGCCACACUGGAACUGAGACACGGUCCAGACUCCUACGGGAGGCAGCAGUAGGGAAUCUUCCGCAAUGGGCGAGAGCCUGACGGAGCAACGCCGCGUGAGUGAUGAAGGUCUUCGGAUCGUAAAACUCUGUUAUUAGGGAAGAACAAAUGUGUAAGUAACUAUGCACGUCUUGACGGUACCUAAUCAGAAAGCCACGGCUAACUACGUG
rnacentral:rRNA from 1 species